rnacentral:misc_RNA from 1 species
GAUGAAGAACGCAGCGAAUUGCGAUAUGUAAUGUGAAUUGCAGAAUUCAGUGAAUCAUCGAAUCUUUGAACGCACAUUGCACCCUCUGGUAUUCCGGAGGGUAUGCCUGUUUGAGUGUCAUUAUCACCUCAACACGGGACGGGUCUCGCAAAGACUCGGCUCCGUGCUUUGGAUGUUGAAGGAUUUGCCGGCACCACCACCGUCGGCUCCUUUCAAAUUCAUUAGCGAGGAACUACGCGCGACUGGCUUCAGUUUGAUAAACCAUUGAACUGCUUCCAGGAGAAACGCCUUUCCAGCUUCCAACCGUCCAACUCGUUGGACUGCCUGCCCUCUAGGCAAAAAAUCACCUAUGACAAAUUUGGCCUCAAAUCAGGUAGGACUACCCGCUGAACUUAAGCAUAUCAAUAAGCGGAGGA